UAAGACUGUGCCUCUGAGAGCUCUGGACCAGAACACCCUAGCCUUCAGCAUGGCGAAACCAACGAAGAAUUCACAGAACACUACACCAGAUACUGAGCCAUCAACUUCAAGUGCGAGACCCAAGAAAACAAAGAAUUGCCAUCAACCCAAAAACAGAACUAGAAGCAAGAAGAAUCCUCAGCCUUGUUCCAAAUGUAGUAGGAAGGUACAAAGAUUGAUAAAGAAGGCCAAGAACAUCCUGCCAAGUAUCCCAAAAAAGAAAGCUUCGAAGAAAACUGCACCACCGAAAAAGAAGAUUAAACGGGCCAAAUGUGAAGCACUAUUCCAUCGCCGCCGCCACCUAAUGGAUGAGAUGACCACUACUAGCACUGAAACGGAAGCCGAGCCAACUAGUUCAGACAGCUCCACUGAGUCAUCUAGUGAUGAGGAAAGUCAAUAGACUCAGCAAGCCAACAAAGACCUGGAAAUCUGUUCAAAGGUCUGGCAGUUGAACAAUGUCAAACUGUGUAGAUAGACCAGUUACUACGCAGUGCUUUGAUGCUGAUGAAAAUAAAAUCAAUCUGAUAUGAAAA